GAGUUUGAUCUGGCUCAGAUUGAACGCUGGCGGCAUGCCUUACACAUGCAAGUCGAACGGCAGCAUGAUCUAGCUUGCUAGAUUGAUGGCGAGUGGCGAACGGGUGAGUAAUACAUCGGAACGUGCCCUGUAGUGGGGGAUAACUAGUCGAAAGAUUAGCUAAUACCGCAUACGACCUGAGGGUGAAAGUGGGGGACCGCAAGGCCUCAUGCUAUAGGAGCGGCCGAUGUCUGAUUAGCUAGUUGGUGGGGUAAAGGCCCGACCAAGGCGACGAUCAGUAGCUGGUCUGAGAGGACGAUCAGCCACACUGGGACUGAGACACGGCCCAGACUCCUACCGGGAGGCAGCAGUGGGGAAUUUUGGACAAUGGGGGCAACCCUGAUCCAGCAAUGCCGCGUGUGUGAAGAAGGCCUCGGUUGUAAG
rnacentral:rRNA from 1 species